GACGAACGCUGGCGGCGUGCUUAACACAUGCAAGUCGAACGGUGAAGGGACCGGUUUUUGCUGGUUCUGGGUGAGUGGCGGACGAGUGAGUAACACGUGAGUAACCUGCCCCCUUCUUCUGGAUAACCGCAUGAAAGUGUGGCUAAUACGGGAUAUUCUGCGCCUGCUGCAUGGUGGGUGUAGGUACGAUAUUGGUUCGGUGGGGGAUGGGCUCGCGGCCUGUCAGCUUGUUGGUGGGGUGAUGGCGUACCAAGGGGGUGACGGGUAGACGGCUUGAGCGGGUGGCCGGCCAGAGUGGGUGAGCGACACGGCUGAGACUGCGACGGGGGGCAGCAGCGGGGAAGAGGGAACAAUGGGGGAAAGCGUGAUGCGGCGAGGCGGCGGGAGCGAUGGAGGCGUUCGGGUGGUAAACCUCUUUCGCUAGUGAAGCAGGUCUGUCUCUGUUGUGGGUGGGUUGACGGUAGCUGGAUAAGAAGCGCCGGCUAACUACGUG
rnacentral:rRNA from 1 species